UUACACACUGUAAUAAGGAAAGUAGAACUUACACUGCUAAUACAGAGAGUCUCCAAAGCUGAGAAGAGACAUUGAAAGAAAGUUUGAAAAUGGCCUUUGAGUGUUGAUGCCAAUACGAGGUGUCAACGGGUUCGCCCGUUAUAGCGAUACAGUAUUAACAUUUAUUGUUUAAUGGCGUACUGGAAUUCUAGACGUCGCUAAUCAUCGUUAAUACUCAUUUACUUAUAAUCAAGUUAAAUGAGUUUUUUAAUGUGAACCUUUCAUUCGCCUAAAGUGUCACAUAACGAUUAAAUUAGCGUCCACUAUCUCAGUACACUUUUAUUCACAAAAUGGCGUACUGUUUGAGGUUACUUUAGCAAUAAAGUAAUAAAUAAAGGUGGUACCGCGAAACAGGCUUUCGUCCUUUAC
rnacentral:ncRNA from 1 species